rnacentral:lncRNA from 1 species
ACUCCUGCAAAUCUGAGUCGCUUGCUAAGAUCACCCAUUCUUCCUCAUCGUCUCUGUACUUGAGCUGAAAAGUUCCAUUUAACAAUUUGAAUCUCUUCGCUAUUUCCUCGAGAAGUUGCUGGUAACCGCCGGACGGUAAGAAUUUGAACCUCACCAUGUCGUUCUUAUAUAUAGCCUUUACGGUGAUGGUAGGGCUGUUUUCGUUUAAAGAUGCACUUUUGGGUUUUUUCUUGAAAGUCGGGUGGCUCGACGCGCUGCCGCUGGAAGAAUCCGUCAUGCUGGAGGAAGAAGGAUUGCUGUGUUCCACAAUCCCGUCGUCAUUAUAAUCUAUUUUGG